rnacentral:rRNA from 1 species
AGUGAACGCUGGCGGCAGGCCUAACACAUGCAAGUCGAGCGGAAGCACAGUAAGAGUGCGCUCCUACGGGUGGCGACGGACGGACGAGUAAGACGUAGAUAGGCAACUACUAAUACGUGGGUGACAACGGAGAAAAGCAUAUACUAAUAGCGCAUAUAACGUACGGGUGAAAGCAGUGGAUCUACGCACCUUGGGCGUUUGAAUGAGACGAAGCCGGGCCGCAUUAGCUAGUUGGUAAAGUAACGGCUUACCAAGGCAACGAUGCGUAGCCGACCUGAGAGGGUGAUCGGCCACACUGGAACUGAGACACGGUCCAGACUCCUACGGGAGGCAGCAGUAGGGAAUCUUCGACAAUGGGCGCAAGCCUGAUGGAGCCAUGCCGCGUGAGUGAUGAAGGCCUUCGGGUUGUUAAGCCCUUUUAUUGGGAAAGAACAGCUGCGUGUUAAACCCCGCCUGUUCUGACGGUACCUAAUGAGAAAGCCCCGGCUAACUUCGUG